rnacentral:ncRNA from 2 species
CAAUUUUUAACUGUUGAUGGUUUUCUCAUUAUUAUGAUUUUAAAAUGCAUAUUUUAUGCGAAAUUAAAAGGGAAUUUAGUGCGAAUCUAAAACUGUCCCGCAGCGGUAUGAAGAAACAAAAUCUGCAAUAAGGCACUGGGUAAACUGGGAAGCCGCAGAAAGUAGGAAUCCUAUUUUUAGGAAAUGUCUUUAAGUCCGAAGACCUGCCAUCAUACGCUCUUUGUA